UACGUAGGUGGCAAGCGUUAUCCGGACUUAUUGGGUGUAAAGGGCGUGUAGGCGGGAGCGCAAGUCAGAUGUGAAAACUCAGGGCUCAACCCUGAGCCUGCAUUUGAAACUGUGUUUCUUGAGUGCUGGAGAGGCAAUCGGAAUUCCGUGUGUAGCGGUGAAAUGCGUAGAUAUACGGAGGAACACCAGUGGCGAAGGCGGAUUGCUGGACAGUAACUGACGCUGAGGCGCGAAAGCGUGGGGAGCAAACAGG
rnacentral:rRNA from 1 species